CAGGCUAGCGCUGAGGCUAGACUGUUUAGCACGGCAGCCAAUACCGUCACCGGAGGUCGUCAUGGUUACUUUAUGAUUCCACUGUGUCUCUGUUAGUGCCAUCAUAAUUAUGAUGUCAGCGUGACGCUUUAGUUAGUGACAUCUUCAUCAUGAUGUGACGGUUAAAGACAUCAUCAGUGACAUCAUUAUGGACCGGAGGUCGUCAUGGUUACUUUAUGAUUCCACUGUGUCUCUGUUACUCUGUCAUUAUGGACCGGAAUUGUUUAUCAACGAUGCCUUGCAGAGAUGGAUCCCCCGACCUCCCACUCUCCGCCAGGAGAAGGAGAGUGGCUCGCCGCACUCGCAGACGAAGAAGAAGGAUCAUCCGACGAAGAAGAAGAAGAAGGAUCAUCCGACGAAGAAGAAGAAGGAUCAUCCGACAAAUAAGAAGGAUCACGCGACGAAGAAGAAUGCUCAUGCGACGCCUCGCAGAACUGGAUCCCCCAACCUCCCACUCCCAUUUCCCUGGCUCCCAUCUAGGAGGAGGGGAUUGCCCCCCCGCAUUCGCAGGCUCCUUAUCAUGGUCGUCCGACGAAGAAGAAGGAUCAUCCGACGAAUAAGGAUCAUGCGACGCCGCGCAGAAUUCCAACAGACAAGCCGACGUUAGACUUAAAUGGCGACAGUUUUCUCUUGGCCGCACACGCUGAAGCUAAGCAUGCUAGCAGGAGGGCCAGCGUGCAGCCAGAGCGCGACGCCUUCUGCCAAGGGCCAAUUUGCGAAAAGGAAGGGUCCUGCAGGAAAGAGCCCGCGCUUAUUCUGGCUCAGGCCGCUGCUCCGGUUCAACAGACUUGACCUUUUCCAGACGAGUCGACCAACAAACUGCGUGGACACCCAGGGAGAAGAAGAAAGAGGGGGGAAGCGCCAUCAGAGGAGCUGCGUUCUGUCUGCCGUUAGAAUAAUAACAAUAGUAAUAAGAAUCAUCUUUGUUUAUGGAGCUCUUCUCAUAAUCUAAGUCACAGACGAGGUAUGAAUAAUGUUUGAAAAGGGCAGAGGCUUCCAAGUUGGGGUUUUAACUGCAGGCGGUGUUCUUUUCCCAGUCAGAAUUAUUAUUUUUUUUAACCCAAUGAUACGCGAUGCUACGUCAGUUCAGCACAAAGUGUCUGGCAUUUAAAUUCCACGGAUCGGCCCGAGGGCCUGUUUCCAGUGCAGCUGCUGGAUUCACAGAUUAAAGUUAACUGGUGGCCGAUGAUACUCGUGAGCCCGUAAACGCAGCGACCCGGUGACGUCACCGCUGUGUCUGUGAUUGUUUUAAUGGGAAGUCUGCCUAAAAGAUUUCAAUAAAACCCGCUCAACCAGGGAAACAAUGUUUUCUUAAUCAAUUUUCUUUCCAAAUAUUCAAAUGUUUCCUUAUUCCCUGUUUACCCAGACAUGACCAAUGAACACAUAGUGGACAUAUUUCUCAGACAGUUAUUCAACUUUAUUAAGGAGAAACAACUGCUUAUGAAUUAAAACUGUUCCUUUCCAUUUAAAUUAAGAGUUUAUUUUAACAGGUUUAGCUUUAAGCUCAAAGUAAAAAGUCAAGAAAUCCACUGCAACGGCCACAUGUGCACGUCCGGCGUGCAGCUUGAUCUGAAGCGCGGAGAAAGGGCGCGUGCUGCAGCCGCGGUGUGAUGUCACGGCGAGGGCCCUCCUGACCAUCCGGCCAGUUAUUCACGGCGCGUCCCGUCCGAUGACAUCUUUAUGUGGUGAAGAGAAUCUGUUACGCGCACACGCCGUCUACACGCACGUGGGUCUCCUCGUGCUGCUGGCAGCUGCGUCACGUGUGUGCGUGACCUU
ensembl:lncRNA